UGGAGCAGAAUAACAUGCAGCUGGGGGAAGGCCAGGCUGGGUCUCAGGGUGAGAGUUGCAGAUGGAUAUGAAAUAAUCGGGGAAGAGGCAAGGUGGGGAGCAUGACCUCAUGUCUUGUUUAGGAUCCUAGGAAUGGCAGGCUUUGCUCUGCGGCAGGAGUGAACGGUGUUUGCUUCAAGUGGCUGAUUGAGGAAAGAGCACUGUGGGAUGGCUGGGGAAUGUUCUGGGGACCACACAGUGGCGGGUAGCUUUGUCAGUGAUGUCAGCAGGAAGGGUCUGGAGAGAAUAAUAAAACCCAGUUGACCCAGCAAGAGCCUGUUCUGGCAGCAGGUAGCCCUCAGAACUUGGCUGGAGGUUCCAGCAAGCCUGAGCAUGGCUGACCCCUGCAGAAUCUGAUUUCUCCUGGAAGUGCCCCUACCUGACCCUUGUAAUAGACCCCAUUUCUGUGCCAGUUACAGUGGGCACCCUGGUGUAGACCAGCCCCAGCCAGAAGCACAGCCACAGAACUCAGCCCAAACUCCAGACCAAGAACACUCAGGGUCUGCAUGGCCCAGAGCUGGCAUCUGUCCGGGGUACUGGCCCAGGCAAAGUGACCACUCUCGUCCAGUCCAGGAGCUGUGAGCUGCAUGGAAAGAAUGUGAAUGAAGACACAACUCUAAAUGUGGAACCAUGGACGCUAUGUGAGCCAGUGUGCUCCCUAGCUGUCCAGAAAAACAAGGCCCACUUGUACAUUCUAAAAGCACAUAAAUAAAGCUGUCCUCAGGCGGC